AGUGGCGGACGGGUGAGUAACGCGUGAGAAUCUGCCUUGGGGUCGGGGACAACCACUGGAAACGGUGGCUAAUACCGGAUAAGCCGAUUGGUGAAAGAUUUAUUGCCCGAAGAGGAGCUCGCGUCUGAUUAGCUAGUUGGUGAGGUAAGAGCUCACCAAGGCAGCGAUCAGUAGCUGGUCUGAGAGGACGAUCAGCCACACUGGGACUGAGACACGGCCCAGACUCCUACGGGAGGCAGCAGUGGGGAAUUUUCCGCAAUGGGCGAAAGCCUGACGGAGCAAGACCGCGUGAGGGAGGAAGGCUCUUGGGUUGUAAACCUCUUUUCUCAGGGAAGAAGCUCUGACGGUACCUGAGGAAUCAGCCUCGGCUAACUCCGUGCCAGCAGCCGCGGUAAUACGGAGGAGGCAAGCGUUAUCCGGAAUUAUUGGGCGUAAAGCGUCCGCAGGUGGCGAUUCAAGUCUGCUGUCAAAGCACGGGGCUUAACUCCGUAAAGGCAGUGGAAACUGAAUAGCUAGAGUGCCGUAGGGGUAGAGGGAAUUCCCGGUGUAGCGGUGAAAUGCGUAGAGAUCGGGANGAACAUCGGUGGCGAAAGCGCUCUACUGGACGGCAACUGACACUCAGGGACGAAAGCUAGGGGAGCGAAUGGGAUUAGAUACCCC
rnacentral:rRNA from 1 species